rnacentral:rRNA from 1 species
AUUACCUAGAGUUUGUGGGCUUUGCCCACUGUCUCUUACCCAUGUCUUUUGAGUACUUACGUUUCCUCGGUGGGCUCGCCCGCCGGUUGGACAAUUUAAACCAUUUGCAGUUGCAAUCAGCGUCUGAAAAACAUACUAGUUACAACUUUCAACAACGGAUCUCUUGGUUCUGGCAUCGAUGAAGAACGCAGCGAAAUGCGAUAAGUAGUGUGAAUUGCAGAAUUCAGUGAAUCAUCGAAUCUUUGAACGCACAUUGCGCCCCUUGGUAUUCCAUGGGGCAUGCCUGUUCGAGCGUCAUUUGUACCUUCAAGCUCUGCUUGGUGUUGGGUGUUUGUCUCGCCUUGCGCGUAGACUCGCCUUAAAACAAUUGGCAGCCGGCGUAUUGAUUUCGGAGCGCAGUACAUCUCGCGCUUUGCACUCAUAACGACGACGUCCAAAAGUACUUUUUACACUCUUGACCUCGGAUCAGGUAGGGAUACCCGCUGAACUUAAGCAUAUCAAUAAGCGGAGGAAAAGAAACCAACAGGGAUUGCCCUAGUAACGGCGAGUGAAGCGGCAACAGCUCAAAUUUGAAAUCUGGCGUCUUUGGCGUCCGAGUUGUAAUUUGCAGAGGGCGCUUUGGCAUUGGCAGCGGUCCAAGUUCCUUGGAACAGGACGUCACAGAGGGUGAGAAUCCCGUACGUGGUCGCUAGCCUUUACCGUGUAAAGCCCCUUCGACGAGUCGAGUUGUUUGGGAAUGC